rnacentral:rRNA from 1 species
GAUGAACGCUGGCGGCGUGCCUAAUACAUACAAGUCGAGCGAACAGACGAGGAGCUUGCUCCUCUGACGUUAGCGGCGGACGGGUGAGUAACACGUGGAUAACCUACCUAUAAGACUGGGAUAACUUCGGGAAACCGGAGCUAAUACCGGAUAAUAUAUUGAACCGCAUGGUUCAAUAGUGAAAGACGGUUUUGCUGUCACUUAUAGAUGGAUCCGCGCCGCAUUAGCUAGUUGGUAAGGAACGGCUUACCAAGGCGACGAUGCGUAGCCGACCUGAGAGGGUGAUCGGCCACACUGGAACUGAGACACGGUCCAGACUCCUACGGGAGGCAGCAGUAGGGAAUCUUCCGCAAUGGGCGAAAGCCUGACGGAGCAACGCCGCGUGAGUGAUGAAGGUCUUCGGAUCGUAAAACUCUGUUAUUAGGGAAGAACAAAUGUGUAAGUAACUAUGCACGUCUUGACGGUACCUAAUCAGAAAGCCACGGCUAACUACGUG